rfam:Camelus ferus unplaced genomic scaffold scaffold1253, whole genome shotgun sequence.
GAGGGUAUAGCUCAGUGGUAGAGUGUGUGCUUAGCAUGCACAAGGUCCUGGGUUCAAUCCCCAGUACCUCCA